rnacentral:rRNA from 1 species
GAUGAACGCUGGCGGCGUGCCUAACACAUGCAAGUCGAGCGAACAGACGAGGCGCUUGCUCCUCUGUCGUUAGCGGCGGACGGGUGAGUAACACGUGGAUACCCCCCCUAUAAGACUGGGAUCACCUCGGGAAACCGGCGCUAAUACCGGAUAAUAUACUGAACCGCGUGGUUCAAUAGUGAAAGACGGUUUUGCUGUCAGUUCUAGAUGGAUCUGGGCUGCUUUGGCUAGUUGGUACGGUAACGGCCUACCACGGGAAGUAGGCGUAGCCGAACUGAGAGGGUGGUAGGCCGCACGAGAACGGGGACACCGUCCAUACUCCUACGGGAGGGACCAGUAGGGAAUCGUCGGCAGUAGGCGAAAACCUUGCGGAACAGCGCCGCGUUAGUGAUGAAGAUCUUCGGAUCGUAAAACUCUGUUUUUAGGGAAGAACAGAUGUGUAAGUAACUAUGCACGUCGUGACGGUACCGGGUCAAGAAGCCACGGCUAACUACGUG